rnacentral:rRNA from 1 species
CCUACGGGAGGCAGCAGUCGGGAAUUUUGCGCAAUGGCCGAAAGGCUGACGCAGCAAGGCCGCGUGGGUGAAGAAGGCCUUCGGGUUGUAAAGCCCUGUUGGCGGUGAAGAAACCUGGCUUCAGGAAAUGGGAGCCAGCUGACGGUAACCGCAGAGGAAGCCCCGGCUAACUACGUGCCAGCAGCCGCGGUAAUACGUAGGGGGCGAGCGUUGUCCGGAUUUAUUGGGCGUAAAGGGCGUGUAGGCGGCCUUUUAAGUCAGAAGUGAAAACCCAGCGCUCAACGCUGGGACUGCUUCUGAAACUGGGAGGCUUGAGUGCUCUAGAGGGCAGUGGAAUUGCCGGUGUAGCAGUGAAAUGCGUAGAGAUCGGCAGGAACACCAGUGGCGAAGGCGACUGCCUGGGGAGUAACUGACGCUGAGGCGCGAAAGCUGGGGGAG